rnacentral:rRNA from 1 species
UACGGAGGGAGCUAGCGUUGUUCGGAAUUAUUGGGCGUAAAGCGCGCGCAGGCGGUCCUUUAAGUCUGAUGUGAAAGCCCACGGCUCAACCGUGGAGGGUCAUUGGAAACUGGGGGACUUGAGUACAGAAGAGAAGAGUGGAAUUCCACGUGUAGCGGUGAAAUGCGUAGAGAUGUGGAGGAACACCAGUGGCGAAGGCGACUCUUUGGUCUGUAACUGACGCUGAGGCGCGAAAGCGUGGGGAGCAAACAGG